GGAGGAGCGACUGGAGUUGAUCGGCUGGGCGCUCAGCUGGGAUCCUUGAUGGACAGUGCCUAAGCAUGGAGGCAACUGCAGGUUUCUGGCCAGGGCCACUCUCUGGUGAAACUAAAAGGUCCAUGUGGAAGCACCUGACUGCCACCACCUGGUUCAGGAUCAAGUCUGUGAUACCUGAAGCCUCAGACCUGGAACCUGAAGUUUCCUUCAGCCACUACACCUGUGAACCUGUGGAAGACCUGAAGUGCCUGUUUAGAAGACAGCCAAAAGAUAAAAAUUACAAUUUGGGGACAGGAGGAGAGAUACAGGUGGGAAGUCACAGGAACUAAAGUCAAACUAAAGGAAAAUCUGUGGCGAGAAGGUCCAUGAAGUUCUACUGCUAAGGUCCCUGAAGUUGAUCUGGUUCCUCCCGCUUCUGGACUUUUCCUUGGACUCCAUGAGAUAAUCUAAUGUUCUUUCAAUAGGUUAGCUUUGCUUAAAUCUAGCUGGAGUUGGUUCUUUUGCUUAAAACCAAAAGUACAACUAAUGCAGCCAGUUGGAAUGAGGCAAACUGACAAUAAAUAGUAGAUGCUAAGGAAA
rnacentral:lncRNA from 1 species